CUACGGGUGGCAGCAGUGGGGAAUAUUGGGCAAUGGGCGCAAGCCUGACCCAGCAACGCCGCGUGAGGGAAGAAUGUCUUCGGAUUGUAAACCUCUGUCCUUAGGGACAAAAAAAAUGACGGUACCUAAGGAGGAAGCUCCGGCUAACUACGUGCCAGCAGCCGCGGUAAUACGUAGGGAGCAAGCGUUGUCCGGAAUUAUGGGCGUAAAGGGUGCGUAGGCGGUAAUCCAAGUCAGAUGUGAAAGACCCGGGCUUAACUCGGGAGGUGCAUUUGAAACUGGGUUACUUGAGUACAGGAGAGGUAAGUGGAAUUCCUAGUGUAGCGGUGAAAUGCGUAGAUAUUAGGAGGAACACCAGUGGCGAAGGCGACUUACUGGACUGUCACUGACGCUGAGGCACGAAAGCGUGGGGAGCAAACAGGAUUAGAUACCCCCGUAGUC
rnacentral:rRNA from 1 species